UACGUAGGCAGCAAGCGUUGUUCGGAAUUACUGGGCGUAAAGAGUGUGUAGGCGGUGUUCUAAGUUUGUCGUGAAAUCUCCCGGCUUAACUGGGAGGGUGCGGCGAAAACUGGAAUGCUAGAGGAUGGGAGAGGUAAGCGGAAUUCCUGGUGUAGCGGUGAAAUGCGUAGAGAUCGGGAGGAAGGCCGGUGGCGAAGGCGGCGCUCUGGAACGUUUCUGACGCUGAGGCUCGAAAGCGUGGGGAGCAAACAGG
rnacentral:rRNA from 1 species